UCUGGUGGUGUGUGGAAUCCCUGGUCGCCCCCGGCUGAGCCAAACAAUGGAGGGUCACGGGCGGUUCCAACGAUGACAUGCUACGGCCUAGGCUGGGGUGCUCUGCACGGUGCAGAGGGGCAGGCGAGGCAGUCGCUUUAUCGAACGAUUAAAACAGUUGAGAAACCGGUGGAAAGUCAGAGGAGAGAGAAAAUGGUCACAGCGUCAGGCAUAGACGAACGGUGGAAGAGUUAGGCACCGGGAGGUUCGUCGUACCAGCACAUAUAUAUAUAGGAAGCCUUUUAUGUACUAACAGGAGUAAUUACUCCCUCCCAUCCGCCGUUCUACCAGCACGUUAACGGGUUAGGCGUGCUAGAUUUAGUGGCCGGCGGAUGAAACCCACUAACCCAUCUUGUACUAGUAAUUAUCCAUUCUUAAAAUUAAUUAUCCUCCAAAUCAGUCCUGAUUUUUAGAAAAGAUAAUCCAUCUUGAUGGUUCUGGCUAUAAAUAUCCGCCCCGAUAAGGCAGAAUCGAUAGGAGCAGAUGGUUUUUGAUUGAUUAGAUUGAGCUGGUAGCUGCAUGCAGAAUACUAUUUCCCGUCCGAUGGAUGGCUUGAUCGAUUAGCAGAAGACUGGGUAACUGGAUGGAGAGAAUACAUCAAUCUGCCUAUUGAUCUGUGUUUACGAUGGACUGAAGGAUAUAGCUGAGAUGAGCUGGUUCAGUUUCAUGGAUCAGAGGUUCAUCGUGGAUCAGUGGCCGCGCCGGAAGAACACACGCGCGGUGAUCUUGAAGCAGUGAGGAAAGGGCGUUACUCAGUUUGCAACGAACCGUGACGACAACAGGACUGCCGCAUAUCUCGAUCUACAAAGAAUUAAAUUUUUGUUACUGUGUUGUUUAGGUGAACUAGAAAUUAUAAUUUGUAUGGAUGAACUGAUGAACACAUUCGCUAUCUAUGUUUUGUAAAGAAAAUUCAGUUAAAUUCAGGACGUAUGAUUCUCUUGGUUUAUUAAUAAAAUUUUCUCACUGGAAAUGAGAUUGUAA